rnacentral:rRNA from 1 species
UGGACCUGAGCUCAGGCAAGACUACCCGCUGAACUUAAGCAUAUCAAUAAGCGGAGGAAAAGAAACCAACCAGGAUUCCCUUAGUAACGGCGAGCGAACCGGGAACAGCCCAGCGUGUCAAUCUGGCCUUUCGGGGUCCGAGUUGUGGUCUGGAGGGCGGCGCUCCGCGCGGUCCGAUCGCCAAGUCCGCUGGAAAGCGGCGUCGUAGAGGGUGACAACCCCGUGGGCGAUCGGCUUCCGCGCUUCUCGAGCCCGUUCCGCGGAGUCGGGUUGCUUGGGAAUGCAGC